rnacentral:rRNA from 1 species
UAGGUCCCGAGCGUUGUCCGGAUUUAUUGGGCGUAAAGCGAGCGCAGGCGGUUUGAUAAGUCAGAAGUAAAAGGCUGUGGCUCAACCAUAGUACGCUUUUGAAACUGUCAAACUUGAGUGCAGAAGGGGGGAGUGGAAUUCCAUGUGUAGCGGUGAAAUGCGUAGAUAUAUGGAGGAACACCGGUGGCGAAAGCGGCUCUCUGGUCUGUAACUGACGCUGAGGCUCGAAAGCGUGGGUAGCGAA